UACGUAGGGUGCGAGCGUUGUCCGGAAUUAUUGGGCGUAAAGGGCUCGUAGGCGGUUUGUCGCGUCGGGAGUGAAAACACCGGGCUUAACUCGGUGCUGGCUUUCGAUACGGGCAGACUAGAGGUAUUCAGGGGAGAACGGAAUUCCUGGUGUAGCGGUGAAAUGCGCAGAUAUCAGGAGGAACACCGGUGGCGGAGGCGGCUCGCUGGGCCGGUCCUGACGCUCGGGCGCGAAAGCGUGGGGAGCGAUCCGG
rnacentral:rRNA from 1 species